rnacentral:rRNA from 1 species
UCCGUAGGUGAACCUGCGGAAGGAUCAUUACAAAUCUUUGUUAGCUCUGGUGGCCGCAAGGCUGCCUGGGCCGACACAUUGGCACACAACGCGCACGAGGUCGUAAGGUCUUGUUGCCGUUGUUGUUGUUUACGCUUGUAUGUUUGACAGAUAUUAAUGUUGGAAAAUAAUAGACAACUUUUAACAAUGGAUCUCUUGGCUCUUGCAACGAUGAAGAACGCAGUAAAGUGCGAUAUGUAGUGCGAUUUGCAUGAAUCUGUGAGUCAUCUAAUCUUUGAACGCAACUUGCGCCUCUCCCGAGGCAUGUCUGUUUGAGUGCCGCAAACUUUUUGCAGCAAUGCGAUCUGACUGUUGUCUCUGGACUCGGUCUAAAUGUAGCCAGAUAGCGGCCUAUGUGUAGGUUAGCCCGAGUGCUAAGCAUUCUUGGAGCUGGCCCAUGUGUAGAGCCCGAGAGUGGUGGGGGUGGAAGGCAGAGGGUAGAGGGUAAUACCUCUUCUUCUUCCUCUUCCUCCCUUCUCUCUUAUUUAUUUGGCCUCAAAUCAGGCAAGACUACCCGGCUGGAACUUAAGGCAUAUCAAUAAGGCGGGAGGGAAGUCGACUGGCCAAGGGGCACACAGGGGGGGGAUA